AGAAUCAACGCUGGCGGCGUGCCUAACACAUGCAAGUCGAACGCGAAAGCCCCGCAAGGGGUAAGUAGAGUGGCAAACGGGUGAGUAACACGUGGGUGACCUGCCUUCGAGUGGGGGAUAACGUCCCGAAAGGGACGCUAAUACCGCAUAACAUCCUGCCUUUGAAGAGGUGGAGAUCAAAGCUGGGGACCGCAAGGCCUGGCGUUUGAAGAGGGGCCCGCGCCUGAUUAGCUAGUUGGUGGGGUAAUGGCUCACCAAGGCAACGAUCAGUA
rnacentral:rRNA from 1 species